GACGAACGCUGGCGGCGUGCCUAAUACAUGCAAGUCGAGCGAAGUUUUUCUGGUGCUUGCACUAGAAACACUUAGCGGCGAACGGGUGAGUAACACGUAAAGAACCUGCCUCAUAGACUGGGACAACUAUUGGAAACGAUAGCUAAUACCGGAUAACAGUAUUUCUCGCAUGAGAGAUAUUUAAAAGUUGGUUAUGCUAACACUAUGAGAUGGCUUUGCGGUGCAUUAGCUAGUUGGUGGGGUAAAGGCCCACCAAGGCGACGAUGCAUAGCCGACCUGAGAGGGUGAUCGGCCACACUGGGACUGAGACACGGCCCAGACUCCUACGGGAGGCAGCAGUAUGGAAUCUUCCGCAAUGGGCGAAAGCCUGACGGAGCAACGCCGCGUGAGUGAAGAAGGAUUUCGGUUCGUAAAGCUCUGUUGUUAGGGAAGAAUGGAUAUGUAGUAACUAUACAUGUAAGAGACGGUACCUAACCAGAAAGCCACGGCUAACUACGUG
rnacentral:rRNA from 1 species